rnacentral:lncRNA from 1 species
UAUAAUUAAAUAUUUUAUCUAUAAAAUUCCUUAAUAUUAAGUUUUUCUCAAAUGACAUCCCCUUAAUUAAUUUUUACUUUGAAACAUUCUUUUGCAUCCUAACAAAAAUACCCUCGAUUCUUCACCCAUCACCGCCGACCAUCGUCGCCUCCGCCACCCCUUGCUACUACCGCAAGUGGGGCCUCCUCCCCCUCCCUUCCCCCUCCUCCCUGUUUUCCCAUCGCUCACACUUCCUCGUCGCCGUCGGAGCAGCGGGUGGAGUGGAGGUGAGCGACGAGGGCAUUAGCGGCGAGGACGAAGAAGGCAGCGAAGUGGGCAACGGAGAUCCGGGACCCCAUCAACGGCGGCCGCUUGUUCCGCACCUUCGCCACCAUCGAGGAGGCGGCCGCCGCUUACUGUGCGCCCACGUCCCGACUCGAGGAGAGGAGAAGCGCCGCCUCUGGCACCCCGCACCCGUGCCUGCCCCCGCCGCGGAGGACUCAGCUUCCUUUAGGUCCCCGCGUCGUCUUCUUCGUCUCUCAUCGUAGUGGGAGCAACGGCGAGGGCGACGGAGGCCCUCGCCGCCCUCCUCCGCUCUACCCGCUGUUCCCACCGCGACGAGGAAGGGCCGGCGGCGAGAAAGGGAGGGAGGGACGGGGGCGAGGAGGGACGGAGAGAGGGAAGGGAGGAGGGGUGGCAGUGGCGACGGAGGCGGCGAUCCAGGGUGGCGACAGCGGGUGAAGGACCAAGGUGCAUUUUGAUCAAAUUGAUGAGAAACGAGCACCCUCAAGUAACAAUCAAUUAAGAAGAUAUUAUUUGAUAAAAAAUUAAUAUUGAAAGAUUUUUAACGUAAAAUGUUCUAUAUAAUUUGUUAUAUGUAAUUCAUAUUUUGUGAUCGUAUUAUCGUUAUAAAUACUUAUUGUUUGGCAACGUUAUUAGAAUUGGAUUGUUGUUGUUCU